UUAACAACUUAUGAUGAACAUCUAUCUAGGAUAUGGGAUUGGCACUUGGGAGCACCUAAUGUGACUAGUCAGAUUCUCACUGGAGAGCGAAGAUGGGGGUAUUACGGCGUCAUUGUGCUGGAUGUCUUCCAGCGCGUUAGUUGGGCAUGGCGAUUUGAAGAGUCCUUGGCUGCCAUUUCUAUUAUCCAUGUUCGAAAUUGUAAGACGCAUUAUGUGGUUUCCGCUGAGAAUUGAGGGCUGGCAAGUUUUUCAGCAUAUUGGACCCAGAGCUGCCGUAGCCGUCACUGGUGGUGUUGAGUUACCUGGAGUCGGAGAUACUCCACCUGUUGAGUCAGAUUCUACAUCCUAAAACCUGUAAAAAUCACAUUUUUUUAAUUCUUUUAGCACGCGCCGAAUCUGUAGAUAAAAUUUCUCUCUAUUCCCUCCCCUCAAGUGUUCAUAACUGGGAGUGGAUAAAGAGUUUAGGGUUGAGAAAAUCAGUGUUCAACUACAUCAACUACCCCAUUCAUCUCCCCAAUCUGGGGGAAAAAAGUGUAAUUCAUUGUCUAUUGUUGUAAAGCAGUUUCUUGUGAAACCCAUCAACUGAAAUUGAAGAAGAUGUUUCUAUGGUACCAACACUGCUUACCUUUUAUCGUCGCAGGAACUCACCCAACUUGGGGCAGUAGCUCCAUCGAGCUCGUUAGCAGGUUUAUCUUUCCCUUUCUGCUUUCGCUUCCAGGAGUCUCUCCCCCACCACCUUUUCUAGUGCAAUGAGUUUAUUUUGUUUAUGGCGCGUCCUGUCUUCUCAUAUCACCAGGGCAUCUUCAUUUCAAGGUCAGGGGACCGACCUCAUUCAAUGAGUGGAAAUGGACAAAGGCUGAUCCUGUGAUUCUUGCAAAAUAUGUGACUGCAUUGACGCAUUGUUAAAGAAAGAGAUAGAUACUUAUGGAAGAGCUAAAGAAACUUUCUGCUGAGAAUCUGUUGUAUUUUCUGGGAAAUGGCACAGAGUUGUUAGUUUCGGGAUUGUUCAAAGCCAUAGGUAAAGGUUCAAUUGUCAGUCACAUUACCUGAAAAAUAGGAUGUUGUUGAGCAAGUUGGUCUCUUUAUUUCACUCCAGAGGAUCUGCCUCAACCACUUGUACUGCAUCUAUGAAGAUACGAUUAGAGAAACAAGCUUGCUAGGAUGAUGAUUGCAAACGUAAACAAUGUAAGAGAAAGACCCAUUCUCAGUUCAAAGAAGCUAAUAGGGAUGCUGAUCGCAAACUUAAGCAUUGAAAAUAGACCCAUUCACAGUCUAAAGAAGCUCGCAAGGCUGAUGAUUGCGAAAUUAAGCAUUGUACGGACUAGGGAGAGACCCUUUCUCUAAGAAGCCUGUGAAAAUAAUGCUCGCAAAAUUAAGCAAUGUAGGAAAGAUACUCAUUCUCAGUCUAAAGAGGCUCUCUUGGAUAGUGACUGCAGAAGUAACCAUAGUGACAAUGACGACUCAUCAAGAAAAACACAGAUAUCAAUGCAAAGCUUCCUCGCCUUGCUCUAUCAAGCGAAUGUUUAAAAGACAAUAACCCUGCUUCUUCAAUGAAACCUACAGAGAUCAAUGGAGAGUAUCCUAACCCUGCUUCAACCCCGAAUGAUACGAUUCUUGGGAUUUUAGAGAUGGAAGCAGAGUGAACCCAUCACCCUAUGCUGAUCCUGGUGCUUGUAGUGAUUGUUCUGUGGACAUAGGUUGUAAUCCGUUAGACGGGACUGGAAAGGACUCCUGAACAAUGGAGCCAGUAUCAUUCAAGAUUUAGUAUAUUUCAAGAGGAGUUGCAAACACGUGGGAUAAUUCCGUGGGUGCCUAAUGGAACACUGAUGCUUUCUGUUCUCGCGGUUGGCAGAAAUCUCGUGGACUGAAUAUGGAUGCUUUCCAUCCUUUCAGUUGGAAAAGAACUAUUGGGCCGCCUAUUAGUCACACACUGAGUAUUGGCAUUCCUCAUCAACUUUGUAAUAACUUCGAAGAACUUGGCUUUUGUCUUAUAGGAGAUAUAUGCCCAAUUUAUCGUUGUGUAGAUUGGAUUAUUUUCGAAGUUUUCAGAGCCUUUCAGAGAUCAAUCUCCCCGUUUAACUUCCAAGUGCAAACUUCAUGGGAGCAAGAGUUAGAGCGUGUUUGGAUUCAGGAAGUCCACCUUCAGGCCUUUCAGCUAGCAUACAGUGAGCUUAUACAAAGUGAUACUUGUAAGCUUGUGAUGACUGUAAAUAGGUCAGGACUCCCCAAAUUACCAUCUACUUCUACAGGUGACAAGUGCAUUGUAUGCCUCCGUGGAAUAAUGCCUGCAGUGAAACAUCUAAUGGAAUAAUAGUUGAAACACACUUCACCCAGAAUCCUUAACGCCCACUAUAUGUCAAUUACAAUGCCCCAAAAGAGAACAAGAUAGAACCCAUCAUUCACAUUUUCAAAAUUUUGGAAUGGUAGAUGACAUUUUUUAUGACAACUGAGAAACAUAGCCCACAUUCAGUUUUCUAAGAGAGCGCUUCAUCCAGUUAUAAUGGGCUUACAAGGAAAGAUUUACUUCAACUUAAUGAAAGCAUCUCCUAAAAGUACACCCGUUUAUUGCCGCAGACAUCUCUAGCCAAUAGGCAAAAAGAAGAUGUUCCAUCUCCGCUGCAAGAGGUUAAUGAUGCGCCCCGUUCUCAAGCUUGCAUUCACUUCUUGCCAUCUCCCAUCUUAACAAGAUUGACAAAGCCUUAUCAAUGCUAGUCAGAGAACAGUCAGACUGCCAUGAGCAAGUCAAAGAAAUAGCCGAACUAAAAGCUGAACACUAUCAUCCGUUGUAGUUGUAGAUAUUCUUACUUUUAGUAAACACAAAAGUCCAAUCAUUUGACAAGCUUGUAGCUGCUUGCUUUACUAUGGUGGAAAUUUGGUUUACUAGAAACAAGAAAAUGAUGUGCCUUCACUUGCAUGUUGGAAGCUUGAGAAUGAAUUGAUGCUGCUGGAACAGUCCUGCUGAAAUGGAAAUUUUGAAUUUUUUUCUACAUAGACUUCAGAAGAGUCAAGGCUACAAGAAUUGUGGAAUGUUUUUUCUUCUUCCAGAUCUUGCUGUGAUGGAGCUAUGGUUUUCUAGUUAGCAAUUCUGCUCGUGAGUUCAUUUUUGGUGAAAGCGGAGGUCUAGGCAUUGGUUCUAACUUCAUUGCUGGAGUGGUAGCAGUCAUCAAGGCUUUUGAAUGGACAGUGGCUAAUAGAGUAAUAGUCAUGUCAGGAUCUUAAUGCAUUCAAUCUGUUAUCAAUGCUUUUCAUAAUAAUUCAUUUCCUUGGAUUAUUAAAUCUUGAUGGUGCAGAGUUCUUGCUCA